rnacentral:rRNA from 1 species
UACGGGGGGAGCAAGCGUUGUUCGGAUUUACUGGGCGUAAAGGGCGCGUAGGCGGCGAUUGCAAGUCAGUUGUGAAAUCUCCGGGCUUAACCCGGAAAGGUCAACUGAUACUGCAGGGCUAGAGUGCAGAAGGGGCAACUGGAAUUCUCGGUGUAGCGGUGAAAUGCGUAGAUAUCGAGAGGAACACCUGCGGCGAAGGCGGGUUGCUGGGCUGACACUGACGCUGAUGCGCGAAAGCCAGGGGAGCGAACGGG